GGGGGGGGGGGGGGGGGGGGGGGGGGGGGGGGGGGGGGGGGGGGGCGCCGCCUCUCCCUCGGCGGGCGGA
rnacentral:miRNA from 12 species